rnacentral:lncRNA from 1 species
GUCAUUUCACGAGAGACGAUGGAUUCUUUGAUGGGCUGGAACUUAAAGGACUGAAGAUCAUAUGAAGGUUGUGUUAAGGACAUGGAAAUGGCAGGAGAGGUGGAUUUUAUGGGAGUGAAACGUGUAGUAGUUGUGAUAGGUGUGCCAUGGAAGGAUGAUUUGUUGUCCAAGAAAGAGGACUUGAGGUUUGCAGAUAGAUAGGGGGUAAGGGUAGUGGCCAUGGCUGUAAUUCAAGGAGU